rnacentral:ncRNA from 1 species
UUAGCAUGUGUGAGUCAGGGGCCGUCCUGAAAGUCUGCGACAAAAUGAAGGUGAGGGCUGGUGUGCUCUGGCUGAGGUGGGAUCCCAUGGUGUGCUGAGGAAGAAGCCCCAGGCACACCUCCAGCCCGUCUCAUUCGUGCUGCCCGUCCAGGGAGUCAGAGCACGAGUGCCCGUUCUAGGACCCGAAAGAUGGUGAACUAUGUCUGGGCAGGGUGAAGCCAGAGGAAACUCUGGUGAAAGCCUGUAGUGGUCCUGAUGUGCAACUUGGUCAUCUGACCCAGGUCUAGGGGUGAAAGCCUAAUCAAACCAUCUAGUAGCUGGUUCCCUCCGAAGUUUCCCUCCAGAUAGCUGGCACUCAACAAUGGGCAGUUUUACCUGGUAAAACGAAUGAUUAGAAGUGUUGGGGCCAAAAUGAUCUUAACCUAUUCUCAAACUUUCAAUGGGUAAGGGGGCUGGCUUGCUGGCGUGGAGCCGUGCUGUUGAAUGCGAGUGCUCAGUGGUCCACUUUUGGUAAGCAGAACUGGCUCUGCAGGAUGAACCAAAUGCUGGAUUAAGGCACCCAGUUCCAAUGCUCAUAAGAGCGAGUUGGUUUGGUGAGCAGCAGAGGCAGUGAGAGAGAAAAAAAACAAGGUAAGCCCAGGGGCUAACUGUGAGAUCA